GUGGGGAAUUUUGGACAAUGGGCGCAAGCCUGAUCCAGCAAUGCCGCGUGCAGGAAGAAGGCCUUCGGGUUGUAAACUGCUUUUGUACGGAACGAAACGGUCCGGGUUAAUACCCUGGGCUAAUGACGGUACCGUAAGAAUAAGCACCGGCUAACUACGUGCCAGCAGCCGCGGUAAUACGUAGGGUGCAAGCGUUAAUCGGAAUUACUGGGCGUAAAGCGUGCGCAGGCGGUGAUGUAAGACAGUUGUGAAAUCCCCGGGCUCAACCUGGGAACUGCAUCUGUGACUGCAUUGCUGGAGUGCGGCAGAGGGGGAUGGAAUUCCGCGUGUAGCAGUGAAAUGCGUAGAUAUGCGGAGGAACACCGAUGGCGAAGGCAAUCCCCUGGGCCUGCACUGACGCUCAUGCACGAAAGCGUGGGGAGCAAACAGGAUUAGAAACCCUAGUAGUCC
rnacentral:rRNA from 1 species